rnacentral:rRNA from 1 species
UACGUAGGGUGCAAGCGUUAAUCGGAAUUACUGGGCGUAAAGCGUGCGCAGGCGGUUAUGCAAGACCGAUGUGAAAUCCCCGGGCUCAACCUGGGAACUGCAUUUGUGACUGCAUAGCUGGAGUGCGGCAGAGGGGGAUGGAAUUCCGCGUGUAGCAGUGAAAUGCGUAGAUAUGCGGAGGAACACCGAUGGCGAAGGCAAUCCCCUGGGCCUGCACUGACGCUCAUGCACGAAAGCGUGGGGAGCAAACAGG